rnacentral:rRNA from 1 species
GAUGAACGCUGGCGGCGGGCCUAAUACAUGCAAGCCGAGCGGACAGACUAGGUCCUUGCUCCUCUGACGUUAGCGGCGGACGGAUGAGUAACACGAGGUUCACUUAUCUAUAGGACUGCGAUAACUUCGGAAAACCAGUGCUCAUACCUAAUAAUAUAUUCAACCGCAUGGUUCAAUAGUGAUAGCCGGUUUUGCUGUGCCUUAUCGAUGUUUCCGCGACGCAUUAGAUAGUUGGUACGGUAACGGCAUCCCAAGGCAACGAUGCGUAGCCGACCGGAGAGGGGGGGCGGACACACUAGAACUGAGACACGGCCCAGACACCUACGGGAGGCAGCAGAAGGGAAACGUACACAAGGGGCGAAAGCCUGACGGAAUCACGCCGCGUGAGGGAAAAGGGGCCGCGGCUAGUAGAAGUCUGCUAUUAGGGAAGAACAAAUGUGUAAGUAUCGAGGCAGGAGUUGACGGUACCUAAUCAGAAAGCCCCGGCUAACUACGUG